rnacentral:rRNA from 1 species
GACGAACGCUGGCGGCGUGCUUAACACAUGCAAGUCGAACGGAAAGGCCUGCUUUCCCUUGUGGAUUGCGGGUACUCGAGUGGCGAACGGGUGAGUAACACGUGAGUGAUCUGCCCCCAACUUGGGUAUAAGCCUGGGAAACUGGGUCUAAUUCCCGAUAGGACUGCAGGGUGGUGCCUGUGGUGGAAAACGAUUUUCUAGUGGUUGGGGAUGAGCUCGCGGCCUAUCAGCUUGUUGGUGGGGUAAUGGCCUACCAAGGCGGCGACGGGUAGCCGGCCUGAGAGGGUGGACGGCCACAUUGGGACUGAGAUACGGCCCAGACUCCUACGGGAGGCAGCAGUGGGGAAUAUUGCACAAUGGGCGGAAGCCUGAUGCAGCGACGCCGCGUGGGGGAUGACGGCCUUCGGGUUGUAAACUCCUUUCGACCGCGAGGAAGCCACCUGGUUGGAAGGGUGGUGACGGUAGUGGGAGAAGAAGCACCGGCUAACUACG